rnacentral:precursor_RNA from 11 species
AGCAGUGAUCAAGGAUAUCGACAUACGGCUAGAGCUAAUUGGAGAGUUCUUGAAUAGUGUUGUGAACCUUCAUGAAAUCUUUGAUUAGGUCUGGUCGUGGUGGUUUAUCAACGCGUUGGAUUCU